GUUUCCAUACUGAAGUGGUCAGCACGUCUGCUUUACACGCACAAGGUCCUGGCUUCAAGACCCAGUGGAACCA
rnacentral:tRNA from 1 species